AUUUGAGAGGUAUGUUCUUUUGCUUUUUCUAGGACGUAAUAAUCAUGUCUCUGAAGUUUACUGGAAGCCACAGAAGAAACUCCUGAGCUUAAGGAUACCUGCAUGGUACUUAUGGGAAGGUUUAAAUAAUUAGAAAUGGGCUUUGUACAAGGAGGAAUUAAAUUGUGUGAAAUGCCUUAAGAUGGAAACAAUAUUCAAGAUGAUCAAAACAAGGUUCACAUAGGCUUUUAUGCUAUGUUUGUGAGGGGAAUGGGAGGAAAGAAAGACAAAGGAAAAAAAGGCUCCGUUUAUUUCGCGGAAAAUAAUUUGUAUAUGAAAAAUA
rnacentral:misc_RNA from 1 species